GGAAAGGCCCGCCAUAGGAGGUAACAGCCCUGUAGUCAAAACUUCGUUCUCUCCUGAGUGGAUCCUGAGUACGGCGGAACACGUGAAAUUCCGUCGGAAUCCGGGAGGACCAUCUCCCAAGGCUAAAUACUCCCUAGUGACCGAUAGUGAACCAGUACCGUGAGGGAAAGGUGAAAAGCACCCCGGAAGGGGAGUGAAAUAGAACCUGAAACCGUGUGCUUACAAAAAGUCAGAGCCCUAUUUAUGGGUGAUGGCGUGCCUUUUGUAGAAUGAACCGGCGAGUUACGAUCCCGUGCAAGGUUAAGUUUGAAAAGACGGAGCCGCAGCGAAAGCGAGUCUGAAUAGGGCGCAUGAGUACGUGGUCGUAGACCCGAAACCAGGUGAUCUACCCAUGUCCAGGGUGAAGUUCAGGUAACACUGAAUGGAGGCCCGAACCCACGCACGUUGAAAAGUGCGGGGAUGAGGUGGGGGUAGCGGAGAAAUUCCAAUCGACCUCGGAGAUAGCUGGUUCUCCCCGACAUAGCUUUAGGGCUAGCCUCGGUAUAAGAGUAGUGGAGGU
rnacentral:rRNA from 1 species